rnacentral:rRNA from 1 species
GUCCACGGCCAUACCACCCUGAAUGCUCCCGAUUUCAUCUGAUCUCAGAAGCUAAGCACGAUUGGGCCUGGUUAGUACUUGGAUGGGAGGAAUUUAUCUAAGGAAGAAAAAUAGAAACCUCUACAAUGGAUA